GAUGAACGCUGGCGGCGUGCUUAACACAUGCAAGUCGAACGCUGAAGCUCCAGCUUGCUGGGGUGGAUGAGUGGCGAACGGGUGAGUAUCACGUGAGGAACCUGCCCUGAACUUCGGGAUAAGCCUGGGAAACUGGGUCUAAUACUGGAUAGGACAUCUCACCGCAUGGUGGGGUGUGGAAAGCUUUUUGCGGUUUGGGAUGGUCUCGCGGCCUAUCAGCUGGUUGGUGGGGUAAUGGCCUACCAAGGCUUUGACGGGUAGCCGGCCUGAGAGGGUGACCGGCCACACUGGGACUGAGACACGGUCCAGACACCUACGGGUGGCAGCAGUCGAGAAUAAUUCACAAUGGGGGCAACCCUGAUGGUGCAACGCCGCGUGGAGGAUGAAGGUCUUCGGAUUGUAAACUCCUGUCAUCCGGGAGAAAGACCUGGCCGUGAAUAGCGGACAGGGUUGAUAGUACCGGAAGAGGAAGGGACGGCUAACUUCGUGCCAGCCGCCGCGGUAA
rnacentral:rRNA from 1 species